rnacentral:rRNA from 1 species
AUCGAACGCUGGCGGCAGGCCUAACACAUGCAAGUCGAGCGGAGCGGCGGACGGGUGAGUAAUGCCUAGGAAUCUGCCUGGUAGUGGGGGAUAACGCACGGAAACGGGCGACAAUACCGCAUACUAUAAAAUCAGCCUAGGGCGGCUUAGCUAGUUGGUGGGGUAAAGGCCUACCAAGGCGACGAUCCGUAACUGGUCUGAGAGGAUGAUCAGUCACACUGGAACUGAGACACGGGCCAGACUCCUACGGGAGGCAGCAGUGGGGAAUAUUGGACAAUGGUCGAAAGCCUGAUCCAGCCAUGCCGCGUGAGUGAAGAAGGUCUUCGGAUGGUAAAGCACUGUAAGUUGGGAGGCGUUACCAACAGAAUAAGCACCGGCUAACUUCGUGCCAGCAGCCGCGGUAAUAC